UACGGAGGGUGCGAGCGUUGUCCGGAAUUACUGGGCGUAAAGGGCGCGUAGGCGGCCUUCUAAGUCAGACGUGAAAUCCCCCGGCUUAACCUGGGAACUGCGUCUGAUACUGGAAGGCUUGAGUGCGGGAGAGGGAUGUGGAAUUCCAGGUGUAGCGGUGAAAUGCGUAGAUAUCAGGAAGAACACCAAUGGCGAAAGCAGCUCUCUGGGACGGUACUGACGCUGAGACGCGAAAGCGUGGGGAGCGAACAGG
rnacentral:rRNA from 1 species